GAUGAACGCUGGCGGCGUGCCUAAUACAUGCAAGUCGAGCGAACAGACGAGGAGCUUGCUCCUCUGACGUUAGCGGCGGACGGGUGAGUAACACGUGGAUAACCUACCUAUAAGACUAGGAUAACUUCGGGAAACCGGAGCUAAUACCGGAUAAUAUAUUGAACCGCAUGGUUCAAUAGUGAAAGACGGUUUUGCUGUCACUUAUAGAUGGAUCCGCGCCGCAUUAGCUAGUUGGUAAGGUAACGGCUUACCAAGGCAACGAUGCGUAGCCGACCUGAGAGGGUGAUCGGCCACACUGGAACUGAGACACGGUCCAGACUCCUACGGGAGGCAGCAGUAGGGAAUCUUCCGCAAUGGGCGAAAGCCUGACGGAGCAACGCCGCGUGAGUGAUGAAGGUCUUCGGAUCGUAAAACUCUGUUAUUAGGGAAGAACAAAUGUGUAAGUAACUAUGCACGUCUUGACGGUACCUAAUCAGAAAGCCACGGCCAACUACGUG
rnacentral:rRNA from 1 species